rnacentral:rRNA from 1 species
UCUUUGACCUCAAAUCAGGUAGGAAUACCCGCUGAACUUAAGCAUAUCAAUAAGCGGAGGAAAAGAAACCAACAGGGAUUGCCUUAGUAACGGCGAGUGAAGCGGCAAAAGCUCAAAUUUGAAAUCUGGGGUCUUCGACCUCCGAGUUGUAAUUUGAAGAAAGUAUCUUUGGAUAUAGCCUUUUUCUAAGUUCCUUGGAACAGGACUUCAUAGAGGGUGAGAAUCCCGUAUGGAGAAGUGUCUAUAUCUAUGUAAAGUGCUUUCGACGAGUCGAGUUGUUUGGGAAUGCAGCUCUAAGUGGGUGGUAAAUUCCAUCUAAAGCUAAAUAUUGGCGAGAGACCGAUAGCGAACAAGUACAGUGAUGGAAAGAUGAAAAGAACUUUGAAAAGAGAGUGAAAAAGUACCGUGAAAUUGUUAAAAGGGAAGGGCUUCAGAUCAGACUUGAUGUUUAGUGAUCCAUCUUCCUUUUUGGUUGGUGCACGCGCUUUUCAUUGGGCCAACAUCGAUUUGGAUGGUAGGAUAAUGUCGUUGGAAUGUAGCUUCACUCGUGAAGUGUUAUAGACUUCGAUGAUACUGCCCAUCUGGAUCGAGGACUGCGUCUUUAUGACUAGGAUGUUGGCGUAAUGAUCU